GAGAACAGGAACUCAGAAACACGAUGUGUGUUUUUGUCCCUCUCAGCUUUUAUGCUCACUCUGGACGAAGUCACAGCAACGUGGUUCCCAUGGUGACCCACUGGCAUGGCCCAGAGAGACUUUGCUUGGGUGUCGACUCAGCUGUUUUUCCCCCUAAUCUCAUAUAACACAGUAGUCAUAUGGAGAAAUGCCAUUGGGCUUGACUUCAGCAUGGCUUUGCAUUUUUCCUGACGCAGGUCUGGCUGGCAGGAUGAGGGGCGGGUUUUGAGCCGUGAGGCUGGAAUGGUAGACAAGGGCCAGAUGGCCAGGGUCACCAAAAGCCGUGCUAAAAGUGGACUUUAUUGGGGAGGACUUGCCCUCUCGGAUUGUGCUAUCAGACCACCUACCUUAGAAUCCCUUGGGGUAUGUGAUAAAAUGGAGAUUCCUGUGCCCCACCCCGACCUUCUGAGCUAGAAUCCUUAGAAGUUUGCCCUUUUUUGCAAGCACCCCAGGAGACUCUUAGGCAAAAUCAAGUGUGAGAGCUACUGGAGAACUUGGAGCCUGGAAGAUGAUGACUAUGGUUUAAGAAGUGGCAGCCUCAGAAAUACUGGCAUUUUGAAGAUUUGAGAGAAGGACUGACCUCAAGGUUUCAUAUCCAGGGUUUUAUCAUCCUGGAUGGAGCUGUCACAGGGAUAAGGAGAGAACGUGCAGACCAAGUACAUCUUCAGUGGAAACUGCAUCUUCGUAGAUAUUUGCCCUCUAGAAACAGAGCUAAGGUCAAUCCCUUUACCAAGAAAAUGCCGUCUCAACUACAUCAGUAGAAUACUUCAGUGGAAACUGCAUCUUCGUAGAUAUGCAGUUGAGAAAAUGCCUUCUCAACUACAUCAGUAGAAUAGGGGUAAAAGACCUCAAGUGCCUUCAAGCCUCCUUAGAGAGAUUGGCUCAACUUUGGAACAUGCGUCAAUAAACAGUCCUCGACCCAGAAUUCACCAAAGGGAGAAAAAACACGAAAGACUAUGAUAGACCCAAGGAUUAUCUUCUUGGCAUUCCCUAGAACAGCUGUCUGGCAAAUGUUACACCACAUCUGAGAUUAUUUUAGAAAUGUCGUCUUGAGGAAGAACAUGUACAGAGAAUACCAGACAGACUUGCCCUCUUUUUUUUUUUCUUGGUCACAGAAUAAGAAUUUCAGGGACGUUUGUACUUUCAAUGAGAUCAUCCUGGAGAUGGCCUUAUCAUUUUUUGAACCUUAAGUCAUGUCACAUCUAAUAAAUGCAUAGCCAAGUGUGGCCACAGAAGUGAGUUGAUACUGAUAGCUAUGUAGGGCUUCCUCCUCCUCUUCUUGUUCCUUUGCCUCGUUAUCUCGGUGAAUGGAAUAUUCGAAAGACGUGUUAAACUAGAGAAUUCUGCCAAGUAUCCACAGAAGCCCAUCCUAAAUGAAAAACAUAUUUCAGUGGUAAAAUGAUAAAUGAUACCUGCUUUCCUAAACUUCCUUUCAGACCUUGUUUUCUCCCCAAAUGUCAUAUUUUGGGGGCUUACUAAAACAGAUUAUGCCAGAGAGGUGGGGGUGGGGGGAGAGAGGGAGAGAAGAAGAAGAAAGAAUGGUACCCAUGAGGGGUGGAAUGAAAAUUACAGCAAGACGGUGAUCAGAGUAUAGCAAAUCAGGGUAGCUCUUGGGGUCUAUACCUGUCCCGGUGAGUGAGGGGUGCCUAGACUGAAUCCCUCACCGUGCUCCCGCUCACAUCAGACUUCCAAGUGAAGGAGCCA